rnacentral:rRNA from 1 species
UGGGGAAUAUUGGACAAUGGGCGAAAGCCUGAUCCAGCCAUGCCGCGUGAGUGAUGAAGGCCUUAGGGUUGUAAAGCUCUUUUAGCAGGGAAGAUAAUGACGGUACCUGCAGAAAAAGCCCCGGCUAACUUCGUGCCAGCAGCCGCGGUAAUACGAAGGGGGCUAGCGUUGCUCGGAAUUACUGGGCGUAAAGCGCACGUAGGCGGACUCUUAAGUCGGUGGUGAAAUCCUGGAGCUCAACUCCAGAACUGCCUUCGAUACUGGGAGCCUUGAGUUCGGGAGAGGUGAGUGGAACUGCGAGUGUAGAGGUGAAAUUCGUAGAUAUUCGCAAGAACACCAGUGGCGAAGGCGGCUCACUGGCCCGAUACUGACGCUGAGGUGCGAAAGCGUGGGGAGCAAACAG